rnacentral:rRNA from 1 species
AUAACCUUUUGGUUUAUAAAUAAAUGUUAGUGGCAGACGGGUGAGUAAUGCGUAGGAAUCUACCUAGUAGUAUGGAAUAGCCAUUAGAAAUGAUGGGUAAUACUGUAUAAUCCCUGCGGGGGAAAGAUUUAUCGCUAUUAGAUGAGCCUACGUUAGAUUAGCUAGUUGGUAAGGUAAUGGCUUACCAAGGCUAUGAUCUAUAGCUGGUCUGAGAGGACGAUCAGCCACACUGGAACUGAGAUACGGUCCAGACAUCCUACGGGAGGCAGCAGUGGGGAAUAUUGGACAAUGGGCGAAAGCCUGAUCCAGCUAUGCCGCGUGAGUGAAGAAGGCCUUCGGGUGUAAAACUC